GUCCACGCCUAACGAUGUCAACUGGUUGUUGGAGGUUCUUCUCAGUAACGUAGCUAACGCGUGAAGUUGACCGCCUGGAGUACGGCCGCAAGGUUGAACUCAAGGAAUUGACGGACCGCACAAGCGGUGGAUGAUGUGGUUAAUUCGACGCAACGCGAACCUUACCUACCUUGACAUGUCUGGAAUUUGCAGAGAUGUGAAGUGCUCGAAAGAGAACCAGAACACAGGUGCUGCAUGGCCGUCGU
rnacentral:rRNA from 1 species